UUUGCAGAUACUUAAAACGCUGUUUGAGAUUGUCCUGUUUGAAGAAUGUGGCAAUCAAUGGAGUCUUAGCAGGCCAAUGCUGAGCUUAAUUUUAAUAAGUGAACAGGUAUUCAAUGAUUUGAAAGUACAGAUUUUGGCUUCUCAGUCUUCGGAUCAAGUAGAGCGCCUUUCGCAAUGCUUUGAUAAGCUGAUGGCUGAUGUCACAAGAAGUCUGGAAUCAAAGAACAGGGAUAAAUUUACCCAAAAUCUGACAAUAUUUAGGCAUGAGUUCCGUGUCAAGUAAUUAAUUGCUCCCUGUGCAGACUGCAGUCAUGAUAGGAUUUCACUACCAUGGCUAGUAGCUAGUUUUUUAUGCCGGACCAGUUCAGGGGUAUGAUUAUCAAGGAGUACUUUUUUUGUGCAUGUUGUAUGAAAGAAUGAUAUAUGUGGAAUAUCACUCUAGUUCCUUUGUUGCCCUUUGUGCGGGGAUGGUAGGAAGUGGGGAUUGCUAACUGGAUAGUUCAUACAUCAUAACUUGGGUGUUGCUGCAAAUGGGAUGGCAAGUUGGAGAUGCGUCCCAAGGUUAUAAUUCUUUUGUUUGAUUAGAAAAAAGGGAAAGGUGAAGAAAAUAGGUAGUUUGUGGAUUUGUAACUGGAGUGGCUUUGUAUAAUACUGUUUCAUUAAGUUUGAUAAUUUUGUUGCUCACUGGAUAGAGCUUGAAGCA